rnacentral:rRNA from 1 species
AUGCUCGCAAAAAAGAAAAGAAAAGAAAAAAAAAUCCAUGCACGCAGACGUCCACAAGAUACGAGACCGUCUUAUCCACCUCAUCCUUCAGCACAGUUUAGCAUUUUUGCUUCAGGUAUCUACCUCACCCUUCCGUCCGGUACUACCCCACCACUCACCAGUUCACCACACAAUUCUUAUCCCGAGCAAAGAGCUAGCCUCGUUGGAGACGAGCGGACAGAGAGAAGUCGAGCAGGAAGAACAAUGGAGGUUGCAGCCGGGGCGAUGAACCCCCUCCUCCGCAAGCUCGGCGACCUGCUCGUGGCCGAGUUCACCCUGGACAACCGCGUGAAGAAGGGCGUCAAGUCCCUCCUUACGGAGCUGGAGAUGAUGUACGUUGUCCUCUGUAAAGCUGGAGAUGAUGGCCGCCGGCGGAGCAACUCGACCCGCAGGUACGGAUCUGGGCAGGCAAGGUUCGUGAGCUCUCCUACAACAUGGAGGACGUCGUGGAUGCCUACAUGGUCAGUGUCUACGAUGGCGGCCAUGGUGAACUGGGCCCCAAUAACAUGA